rnacentral:rRNA from 1 species
AUCUUUCUUUGACGAUGUUGUCGGCGAGGAAACCCGCUGAACUUAAGCAUAUC